AUUGAACGCUGGCGGCAGGCCUAACACAUGCAAGUCGAGCGAGCGGCGGACGGGUGAGUAAUGUAUGGGGACCUGCCCGACCGAGGGGGAUAACUACUGGAAACGGUGGCUAAUACCGCAUACUAUCGGUUGAACCCUCAUGGGAUUAGCUAGUAGGUGGGGUAAAGGCUCACCUAGGCGACGAUCCCUAGCUGGUCUGAGAGGAUGAUCAGCCACACUGGGACUGAGACACGGCCCAGACUCCUACGGGAGGCAGCAGUGGGGAAUAUUGCGCAAUGGACGCAAGCCUGAUGCAGCCAUGCCGCGUGUAUGAAGAAGGCCUUAGGGUUGUAAAGUACUUUCAGCGGGGAGGCGUUACCCGAAGAAGAAGCACCGGCUAACUCCGUGCCAGCAGCCGCGGUAAUUC
rnacentral:rRNA from 1 species